UCAAGUAAUUAAGUGCAUGUGGUGGAUGCCUUGGCAGUCAGAGGCGAUGAAAGACGUGAUAGCCUGCGAAAAGCUCCGGGGAGGCGGCAAAUAUCCUUUGAUCCGGAGAUGUCUGAAUGGGGGAACCCACCUACUUUAAGGUAGGUAUUGCAACAUGAAUACAUAGUGUUGCAAGGCGAACGAGGGGAAGUGAAACAUCUCAGUACCCUUAGGAAAAGAAAUCAAUUGAGAUUCCCUCAGUAGCGGCGAGCGAACGGGGAUCAGCCCAUUAAGUUAUGUGUGUUUUAGUGGAACGCUCUGGGAAGUGCGAACGUAGAGGGUGAUAUUCCCGUACACGAAAGGGCACACAUAAUGAUGACGAGUAGGGCGAGGCACGUGAAACCUUGUCUGAAUAUGGGGGGACCAUCCUCCAAGGCUAAAUACUCCUGACUGACCGAUAGUGAACCAGUACCGUGAGGGAAAGGCGAAAAGAACCCCUGUGAGGGGAGUGAAAUAGAUCCUGAAACCGCAUGCAUACAAGCAGUGGGAGCACCUUCGUGGUGUGACUGCGUACCUUUUGUAUAAUGGGUCAGCGACUUAUAUUCAGUAGCGAGGUUAACCGUAUAGGGGAGCCGUAGAGAAAUCGAGUCUUAAUAGGGCGUUUAGUUGCUGGGUAUAGACCCGAAACCAGGCGAUCUAUCCAUGAGCAGGUUGAAGGUUGGGUAACACUAACUGGAGGACCGAACCCACUGUCGUUGAAAAGCCAGGGGAUGACUUGUGGAUAGGGGUGAAAGGCUAAUCAAGCCUGGUGAUAGCUGGUUCUCCCCGAAAGCUAUUUAGGUAGCGCCUCGGACGAAUACCAUAGGGGGUAGAGCACUGUUUCGGCUAGGGGGUCAUCCCGACUUACCAAACCGAUGCAAACUCCGAAUACCUAUGAGUACUAUCCGGGAGACAGACUGCGGGUGCUAACGUCCGUAGUCAAGAGGAAAACAAUCCAGACCGCCAGCUAAGGCCCCAAAAUCAUAGUUAAGUGGGAAACGAUGUGGGAAGGCAUAGACAGCUAGGAGGUUGGCUUAGAAGCAGCCACCCUUUAAAGAAAGCGUAAUAGCUCACUAGUCGAGUCGGCCUGCGCGGAAGAUGUAACGGGGCUAAAACUAUGUGCCGAAGCUGCGGAUGUAUACUUUGUAUACGUGGUAGGGGAGCGUUCUGUAAGCCGAUGAAGGUGUGUUGAGAAGCAUGCUGGAGGUAUCAGAAGUGCGAAUGCUGACGUGAGUAACGACAAAACGGGUGAAAAACCCGUUCGCCGAAAGACCAAGGGUUCCAGUCCAACGUUAAUCGGGGCUGGGUGAGUCGACCCCUAAGGCGAGGCCGAAAGGCGUAGUCGAUGGGAAAAUGGUUAAUAUUCCAUUACUUCUGUGUAAUGCGAUGAGAGGACGGAGAAGGCUAAAUCAGCCUGGCGUUGGUUGUCCAGGUGAAAGGAUGUAGGCAUGUAUCUUAGGCAAAUCCGGGGUACUCUAUGCUGAGAUCUGAUAGCAAGCUGUACUUGUACAGCGAAGUGGUUGAUGCCAUGCUUCCAGGAAAAGUCUCUAAGCUUCAGUUACACAGGAAUCGUACCCGAAACCGACACAGGUGGUCAGGUCGAGUAGACCAAGGCGCUUGAGAGAACUCUGCUGAAGGAACUAGGCAAAAUGGUACCGUAACUUCGGGAGAAGGUACGCUGUUGUUGGUGAUGGAACUCGCUUCCUGAGCUGACGACAGCCGCAGAAACCAGGCCGCUGCAACUGUUUAUUAAAAACAUAGCACUCUGCAAACACGAAAGUGGACGUAUAGGGUGUGAUGCCUGCCCGGUGCUGGAAGGUUAAUUGAUGGGGUUAGCGUAAGCGAAGCUCUUGAUCGAAGCCCCAGUAAACGGCGGCCGUAACUAUAACGGUCCUAAGGUAGCGAAAUUCCUUGUCGGGUAAGUUCCGACCUGCACGAAUGGCAUAAUGAUGGCGGCGCUGUCUCCAGCAGAGGCUCAGUGAAAUCGAAAUCGCUGUGAAGAUGCAGUGUACCCGCGGCUAGACGGAAAGACCCCGUGAACCUUUACUGCAGCUUGACACUGAACUUUGACCUUACUUGUGUAGGAUAGGUGGGAGGCUUUGAAGCUGGAACGCUAGUUCCAGUGGAGCCGUCCUUGAAAUACCACCCUGGUAAUGUUGAGGUUCUAACUCUGUCCCGUGAUCCGGGACGAGGACCGUGUCUGGUGGGUAGUUUGACUGGGGCGGUCUCCUCCUAAAGAGUAACGGAGGAGUACGAAGGUGCGCUCAGCGUGGUCGGAAAUCACGCGUAGAGUAUAAAGGCAAAAGCGCGCUUAACUGCGAGACCCACAAGUCGAGCAGGUACGAAAGUAGGUCUUAGUGAUCCGGUGGUUCUGUAUGGAAGGGCCAUCGCUCAACGGAUAAAAGGUACUCUGGGGAUAACAGGCUGAUACCGCCCAAGAGUUCAUAUCGACGGCGGUGUUUGGCACCUCGAUGUCGGCUCAUCUCAUCCUGGGGCUGAAGCAGGUCCCAAGGGUAUGGCUGUUCGCCAUUUAAAGAGGUACGCGAGCUGGGUUUAGAACGUCGUGAGACAGUUCGGUCCCUAUCUACCGUGGGCGCUGGAAAUUUGAGAGGAUCUGCUCCUAGUACGAGUGGACCAGAGUGGACGAACCUCUGGUGUACCGGUUGUGACGCCAGUCGCAUCGCCGGGUAGCUAUGUUCGGAAGGGAUAACCGCUGAAAGCAUCUAAGCGGGAAGCCUACCUCAAGAUAAGAUUUCCCUAGGACUUUAUGUCCUCUAAAGAGCCGUUCGAGACUAGGACGUUGAUAGGUUGGAUGUGGAAGCAUAGUGAUAUGUGAAGCUGACCAAUACUAAUUGCUCGUGAGGCUUGACUAU
rnacentral:rRNA from 1 species